rnacentral:rRNA from 1 species
AUUGAACGCUGGCGGCAGGCCUAACACAUGCAAGUCGAGCGAGCGGCGGACGGGUGAGUAAUGUAUGGGGAUCUGCCUUAUGGCGGGGGAUAACUACUGGAAACGGUAGCUAAUACCGCAUACCAUCAGAUGAACCCAUAGGGGAUUAGCUUGUUGGUGAGGUAACGGCUCACCAAGGCGACGAACCCUAGCUGGUCUGAGAGGAUGAUCGGCCACACUGGAACUGAGACACGGCCCAGACUCCUACGGGAGGCAGCAGUGGGGAAUAUUGCGCAAUGGGCGAAAGCCUGAUGCAGCCAUGCCGCGUGUAUGAAGAAGGCCUUCGGGUUGUAAAGUACUUUCAGUAGGGAGGCGUUACCGACAGAAGAAGCACCGGCUAACUCCGUGCCAGCAGCCGCGGUAAUUC